CCGUCCAGCACCGGCGUAAUACGGAGGUCCAGCNGUAUCCGGAAUCAUUGGGUUUAAAGGNUCCGCAGGCGUCAAUUUAAGUCAGAGGUGAAAUCCCAUAGCUUAACUAUGGAAACUGCUUUGAUACUGGUUGACUUGAGUUAUACGGAAGUAGAUAGAAUGUGUAGUGUAGCGGUGAAAUGCAUAGAGAUUACACAGAAUACCGAUUGCGAAGGCAGUCUACUACGUAUAUACUGACGCUCAUGGGCGAAAGCGUGGGGAGCGAACAGGAUUAGAUACCCUGGUAGUCCACGCCGUAAACGAUGGACACUAGUUGUUGGGAUUUAUCUCAGUGACUAAGCGAAAGUGAUAAGUGUCCCACCUGGGGAGUACGGUCGCAAGAUUGAAACUCAAAGGAAUUGACGGGGGCCGCACAAGCGGUGGAGCAUGUGGUUUAAUUCGAUGAUACGCGAGGAACCUUACCAGGGCUU
rnacentral:rRNA from 1 species